GCGAAUGGAUUGAGAGCUUGCUCUCAAGAAGUUAGCGGCGGACGGGUGAGUAACACGUGGGUAACCUGCCCAUAAGACUGGGAUAACUCCGGGAAACCGGGGCUAAUACCGGAUAAUAUUUUGAACUGCAUGGUUCGAAAUUGAAAGGCGGCUUCGGCUGUCACUUAUGGAUGGACCCGCGUCGCAUUAGCUAGUUGGUGAGGUAACGGCUCACCAAGGCAACGAUGCGUAGCCGACCUGAGAGGGUGAUCGGCCACACUGGGACUGAGACACGGCCCAGACUCCUACGGGAGGCAGCAGUAGGGAAUCUUCCGCAAUGGACGAAAGUCUGACGGAGCAACGCCGCGUGAGUGAUGAAGGCUUUCGGGUCGUAAAACUCUGUUGUUAGGGAAGAACAAGUGCUAGUUGAAUAAGCUGGCACCUUGACGGUACCUAACCAGAAAGCCACGGCUAACUACGUGCCAGCAGCCGCGGUAAUACGUAGGUGGCAAGCGUUAUCCGGAAUUAUUGGGCGUAAAGCGCGCGCAGGUGGUUUCUUAAGUCUGAUGUGAAAGCCCACGGCUCAACCGUGGAGGGUCAUUGGAAACUGGGAGACUUGAGUGCAGAAGAGGAAAGUGGAAUUCCAUGUGUAGCGGUGAAAUGCGUAGAGAUAUGGAGGAACACCAGUGGCGAAGGCGACUUUCUGGUCUGUAACUGACACUGAGGCGCGAAAGCGUGGGGAGCAAACAGGAUUAGAUACCCUG
rnacentral:rRNA from 1 species